rnacentral:rRNA from 1 species
AUGCUUUACGGCUUAGAAUCGGGGCUUCAAAGACGUUUUGAACGCCACGGAGCAUAUGAGAUGUUCCAAGAGUUGAAAUUAGUAUUUCAGACUCAUGCCCAUGUCGAAAGGUAUGAGACCUUUGACAAGCACUUUGCCUACAAGAUGGAGGAGAAUUGCUCAGCUAGGGAGCAUGUGCUCAGAAUGUGGCACCCCGGCUCAGAGAAACCGGAACGCCCCGUAUUCCAGCCCAGAGAUCGAGAUGAAGUCUUCUGGAAUACGGCACUGCUUAGCAUAGAACAAACCAGCUUUCUAUUAUUACACGAAUCUGAAUACAAGGUCUCCGAUAUUAUAAUGAAUAACAUCGGCACAGCGACACUACGCCAUCCUCAGUUGCUCUAUGCAAGCAGUAGAACAACUCGAAGCAGUGGAAUAACUCUAGCAGCGGAACAACGACGACGGUGGUGA